UGAUUUGGAAUGAAGAAGAAAAAAAUACAAAGUUGUGCAAUGGAGUCUGUGUAAUUUGAGGGGAUUAAGAUUAUUUUUUGUUUGAUUUAGUAAGGAAUUUUUUUUUUCUUUUUUACAUCAAAAAUUAUUAAAAGUAAUGAGAGUCCUGCACUAUAAAGCAGACUUAGUUUCCAUCAUCAAGUGCCUUCGUGGUGGUCUAUGCAAUCAACUGUUGGAGAUUGUAAGGGUAAGCAUUGUCUGGAACAGAGGCAUUAUAUGCUAAAUUUGCCAGGACUACAUUUGCUGCCUCGGUCGGCCGGUACCCGUCCCAGUAAAAGUAAUCAUUCACGUUCUGGCAUUUGGCUGUGUUAGGAGCACACAAUCCAUUGCGGUCUGUUUCGCAACAAGGAACUUGUGUCUGCUUGAAACCUGGGAAAACGUUCGCUGAUGUUAGAUCAUAGAUGUUGAUAUAUGUGAACUUUGCAUUCUUGUAGUUCUUGUUGAACCUGUCGACUACCAUACUAAUCCUGCUGUUGAAGAUAUGGAUAUCUGUGUCCAUCACAGAUAUACAAUGUUGAUUUGUGGCAUAAAAUUUCACUGCAGUUGGGCUGCAACCCAAUGGCCCAAGCCCAAAAAUAGCAAUUUUCCUGGCUCCAGAGUUGUACAGAUUGUUCAAGUGAUUGAACAAGUAACCAUCAACAAGUUUCUCCGCGUAUUCCUCUGAUGGAAUUUUUCGGGUUGGUUCUGACCCGUUGUUCGAUGGGGUAUAGUAGCCUACCAAAUAAUCAUUGCUGCCAAUCCCAACACUAUAUAGACAUUGCUGGAGGUAAUAGUUAGACUUGAAUUUGCUGCCAAAUAUAUUGUCAAUGCGUCGGACUAUUGUCCUGUGGAAAUUUAUUUGUUGGCUAAUGGAAGUGACCUUGCUUCCUGCAGUUUCCACUUGCA
rnacentral:misc_RNA from 1 species